rnacentral:ncRNA from 22 species
CGCAAGGGGGUUUUUGUUGGUUCCCGAAGGCGUGUUCUUCGGGCGAAGAGGGAAUGUGACAGGGCCGCCACCAGCGCCCCCAAGCACAGCCGCCCCCGCGACCGUGACCGGAGAGGUCUCCAGACGCCACUGGCCCCUGCCGCAAGGCACAGCCGGGAAGGCGGGAAGACCGUCAGCGCCGCCGCCAUGGCACUGGCAUCCGCAAGCCGGGAGACCUGCCAACGACUGACGUGAACCG